rnacentral:ncRNA from 1 species
AAAAAGGCGAUGAUAAGGACGAGUAAAUCAAACCCAGUUAUCAGAGAGGGGAACUCAUUGGCUGAAAGGUUUCCUUAAUAUGGAGGAUUGAAAACCACCUUGGAGCUCCGUCUUGAAAUUUAGUAGAGAUUGGCGUUUGCUUGCGUUAAAGCUUUUAAAGUGGGUUUAUAAUUUUUUUAUUAUACAAUACCAAUUUGGGUGGAACCGCGGGAGUAUUAUGCUCUCUCUUGA